GUUCUGACUUCCUUUAAGGUAGCAGAUGCCUUCUGGUGGGAGAUCGCCUUCGGGGAGCCGCAUGGCCACUUCCUCAUUAAAGUCCGGCCAGCUGAAUUGCUCUCCGGCCGGCUGCUCCGCAGGUGAACUUCCGCCUAUGGCUCUCGCUCUACCAGGACAAGGAACGCCAAGCCAUGGAACCAAGGAGUUUGGGGUCCUGUUGCAUGUGAUACCACCACAAAUGAGGCGUCAAGGUCACUCUUCUCAUCCCUCCCACUGCUGCAUACUGCUGAGAGGGCCACUACAACUGAUCAUCAUCGGAUGGGAUGCAUGCAGGCUCGCCAGGACGGCAGAUAAGUAAACAAUCUGCCUUCAGCUUGCAGGACCAAUCCACCAUGUCGCUGCUGAUGAUGGGGGAUCACACUUUGCUCUGA